GCAUUUGAAAACGCUUCUGGAAAGGUACUAUUUGAUUUUGUUAUAAUUCGAUCUGCACAAUGUGUUUCUAAAAUGAUAAGCUUGUUUUUAAACUAAAAAUAGGUGAGUUUUGGUUUUGUCCUCUCAAGGUUAAAAUCCAUGUCUGAACUUUUGCUUUUAGCCGUUCUCAAUCAUGGAAUUGAGAGAAGUGAUUUUAUUUAAGACUUCAACCACAUAGGGUGUUGGUGAAAGAAAAAUGUGAAUCAAUUUGAUGAAUGUCAACCAAGCAACCUAUGCUUCUUAUCACCCAAACAAAAAUCAUUCUUUUGAUGAAUGUCAUCUGUCACAUGCUAGCCAGAUUUCUGAUUAUGUAUAUCCCAAAACUUAAAGAUAUAUCAGUUAUGAGACCUGGCAUGAGCUUAAGCCUUGUUUCUGCACAACUUUUCCUGUACUUCUUUUUACUUGCAUUGUCUUUUUGUUAACACUUUUUUUAUGAUAUUGUCACAGAAAAUUCCUCUUGUAAUGGCUG
rnacentral:misc_RNA from 1 species